rnacentral:rRNA from 1 species
AUUGAACGCUGGCGGCAGGCCUAACACAUGCAAGUCGAGCGAGCGGCGGACGGGUGAGUAAUGUCUGGGAAACUGCCUGAUGGAUGGGGAUACCUACUGGAAACGGUAGCUAAUCCCGCAUACCAUCAGAUGUUCCCAGAUGGGUUUAGCUAGUAGGUGGGGUAACGGCUCACCUAGGCGACGAUCCCUAGCUGGUCUGAGAGGAUGACCGGCCACACUGGAACGGAGACACGGUCCAGACUCCUACGGGAGGCAGCAGUGGGGAAUAUUGCACAAUGGGCGAAAGCCUGAUGCAGCCAUGCCGCGUGUAUGAAGAAGGCCUUCGGGUUGUAAAGUACUUUCAGCGGGGAGGCGGUACCCACAGAGGAAGCAACGGCUAACUCCGUGCCAGCAGCCGCGGUAAUAC